rnacentral:rRNA from 1 species
UACGUAGGGGGCAAGCGUUGUUCGGAUUUACUGGGCGUAAAGGGCGCGUAGGCGGCGUGGUAAGUCACUUGUGAAAUCUCUGAGCUUAACUCAGAACGGUCAAGUGAUACUGCUGUGCUAGAGUGCAGAAGGGGCAAUCGGAAUUCUUGGUGUAGCGGUGAAAUGCGUAGAUAUCAGGAGGAACACCUGUGGUGUAGACAGCUUACUGGACCACUUCUGACGCUGAGACACGAAAGCGUGGGUAGCAAACAGG